UACGUAGGCAGCAAGCGUUGUUCGGAAUUACUGGGCGUAAAGAGUGUGUAGGCGGUGUUCUAAGUCUGUUGUGAAAUCUCCCGGCUUAACUGGGAGGGUGCGGCGGAAACUGGAAUGCUAGAGGAUGGGAGAGGUAAGCGGAAUUCCUGGUGUAGCGGUGAAAUGCGUAGAUAUCAGGAGGAACACCUGUGGUGUAGACAGCUUACUGGACCAUUUCUGACGCUGAGACACGGAAGCGUGGGUAGCAAACAGG
rnacentral:rRNA from 1 species